GUUUGAGCUCUGUAUCUGAUGAUCAGUUUGGCGAUAAAGCUGUCUCAACCACCCUUUCAUCAUCCUCUCACGACUCCUUUAUUAGGAUAUCUACACCAAAUACUUUAACUUGCAACAUGUCUACUGUAGAUAGUAGCAUGCAUGUAAGUAUUGGAAGCUCUAGUCCUUUGCCUCAUCAGCUACAUGACAAACAAAAGACCAGUGGGAAACUGAGCAGCAGAGGAGAAGCUAAUGGUGCUUUGGGUUCCUUUGAGGCCGCUCUUGGCAUUCUGACAAGGACAAAAGAAAGUAUUGGGC
rnacentral:misc_RNA from 1 species